AUACACCAUGUCUUCUGUUGUUUCAUCAAAAGAAGAUACAAUGUCGUCUGAAAAAGCAGAUGAGAAAAAACCUGAAACUGAAAACAAAGCUGAGGAAAGUGAUGAAGAUGAAGAAGAAGAGGAGGAGGAGGAGGAAGAAAAGGAAAAGAGUCUCAUUGUUGAAGGAAAAAGGGAGAAGAAGAAGGUAGACCGACUGACCAUGCAGGUGUCCUCAUUGCAAAAGGAACCUUUUACAAUUACACCAGGAAAAGGACAAAAACUCUGUGAAAUUGAAAGGAUACAAUUCUUUCUGAGUAAAAAGAAGACAGAUGAACUUAGGAACCUGCACAAACUCCUCUACAACAGGCCAGGCACUGUUGCUUCCCUAAAGAAGAAUGUGGGUCAGUUCAGCGGGUUCCCGUUUGAAAAAGGAAGUGACCAAUACAAAAAGAAGGAAGAAAUGUUAAAAAAAUUUAGAAAUGCAAUGUUGAAAAGUAUCUGUGAAGUUCUCGACUUGGAAAGAUCAGGAGUUAAUAGUGAGCUGGUAACCAGAAUCUUAAACUUCUUAAUGCACCCAAAAUCUUCAGGCAAGCCAUUGCCAAAGUCCAAAAAAACACCAAGCAAAGGUGGCAAAAAGGAACGCAGUAGCACUGGAACAACAAGAAAAGCAAAACGCACCAAGUGCCCAGAGAUCUUGUCGGAUGAAUCCAGUAGUGAAGAAGAUGAGAAGAAGGAAAAAGAUGACUCUUCAGAAGAAAAAGAAAGUGAAGAUGAGCCCCCUAGAAAAGCAUCUAAAAGAGAAAAAUCUAAAAAGGUGACUUCCAAAACCAAGAAAGCUGUGAAGGGUGCGAAUGUCAAGAAGGCAGAUAGCAGCACUACUAAAAAAAAUCAGAACAGUUCUAGAAAAGAAAGUGAGUCUGAGGACAGUUCGGAUGAUGAACCUUUAAUUAAAAAGCUGAAGAAACCACCCACAGAUGAAGAACUUAAGGAAACUGUCAAGAACUUGUUGGCCAAUGCAAACUUGGAGGAGGUCACAAUGAAACAAAUUUGCAAGGAGGUGUAUGAAAACUAUCCUAGUUAUGAUUUAUCUGACAGGAAAGACUUCAUUAAAAAAACAGUCAAAGAGUUGAUUUCAUGAUCUGAUUUGACUGUGGGAAACGAAGAUUCCUGGUUUUAUGUUCCCAUGGAUUUGAAGAUCUGAUAGGCACCAGCAAAAGGAAUGUGUCUUACCCUUGUGGUAUUUAGUCAGAGCUGAUUCUGCUGAUCUAAUGUUAAGAGUGUUGAUGUAAAUUGCUUUGUGUAUCUUUUUUUUAAAAAAAAACAAAACUGCAUUUGAUGCAGGUUUUAGUUGAACAUACUUAAGUUUCAUGCAUGGCAAUAAAUGUUCCCUUUUUUAUAGUUUUUGUACAUUUUGAAUUGCUUUGUAUAACUAGAUUCAUUAGAACCAUCGUAGCUUUUUAGUGUGGAUUACUAGCUUGUAGGAGGUUUUAAAAUCAAGUAAGAUGAAAGCUGCUUAUCUGCACAUAUACAUGCAGAGACUGGAAUAUUGCAGUAUUGGUUAUAAAGAUAUUUUGAAUACAUAUCCAUUCUGAAAAUAAAGAGUUAGUCAUAUGUUAAUGUCUUUUAUAUUCUGAUACAUUCUACAGAUGCAGAAUUAUUCUAAAUUUAGAUUACUGUCUUGCAUGUGUAGGCACCGAGAGAACUGUCAAAGCAUGGUAACUAAUUGGCAUAUAGAUGUUAUUUUUGUACUUUUAAAAGGCUUUCUGUUGUGUAUAUAAAGUUAUUUCAGAUUUCUUUUGUGCAAAUCAGUUUUUUAAUCUUGUUAUCUUAGGAUUUAGGACAUGAAAUGUCAGUGUUCAGCAGUGAGGCUGUGAUGAUGGUAUGCAGAAGUUUCAUGAAACUACAAAUGAGUUGAGGUUUUACGAUGUUUGUCCCAUCUUAACCUUGUACAGAAACUAAACUGUAGUUUUAUACUUAAGCUUUUCAGCAUUUAACUUUGUACAAAAGACUACAGAUACAUUUGUUUCAAUGGCUUGACAGUAAAUAAAAUCCCUCCAAAGGCUAUAGGAAAAUUUCUGAAGUUCACUUUGCAGAAAAUCUUUUACUCUAGUGUCUUGACUUGAUGGCCUAGCAUCUCAGAAGUGGGUAGCCAAGAUGUACAGCUGGGAGGCUCGAUAGCUUUGGAAAUCCACAGUGGGGCCUCUGAAUCGGGCAGCACUGACGUGAGUGGUUAAGCUGUCUUCUGUAUGGGAAAGCUCUUCUGAACCUGAGCCUUGGUGCCUCAACAUGGACAAUGAUGGAAUGGAAAUGAACUCAGCAUCCUUCAAGUACUUUGUUUAAAUGUCUUAACUACAACUCAAUGCAGUCCUCAACAGAGAAGAAAUGUCUGAGCUGUUUCCCUGCUAAUCCAUACCAGUCUGGCUGCAGCUGAUAAAAGAUUCCAGUUCUUUCUACAACUGGGGGAAAAGCUGCAAGACAAUACUAAAAGCAUGCAAAUUCCACCCAAUCUACCAAAAAGAGUCUGGAUAACAAUUGUAUGAAGGCUUAGUCAACUACAGCUGUGUCUUACUCUUGAGGAGCUUGUGACAAGUAAACAGAAGCACCCCUGGUUGCCUCUUACACGUCAUAUGGUAUCCACAAAUAGACUAUUCCAUUCAGGUAGCACGUGAGAGACUAAAGCUCACGCAAUCAAGACAAUGGCUAGUGAAGUAUGGCAAGCUUCAUGGACAUCCCAGAAGAAGUUCUGGUACACCCCUGGAAGCUAUCUUGUCUUUGAAAAUCCUGCUGCACUGUGGACAGAUGACUGAAAUUCACAACUGCUAUAAACCAUGGAGACAGGCAUGAAAAUCACUCUUCUAGACUAGAGUGGCACCAAAACCAAAGACCUGUUUGCUACCUCUACAUUCUCAUGAGAUCAAAAUAGCAGGUGCUCAUUUCCCCUACAAGUCUCUUACGCAACUGCCGAAACACCUGGUUUUCCUAUGGCAACAUCCAGAACACAUUGACCUCCUGCCACCAAAGAACAAUCCACACAGGCUGCAUCUUCCUUGUUCAAGCUGUGGGACAUGGUAGCAGUAGCUUUGUUCAGGAAUUCUGCUAAAAGUAAAGGCGGAGGCUACGAACUACCUUGGUAGUGAGCAAGGCACCGGGCGACUCAUUUUGGUGACUACCAGGUGAUCAGAGUCUGCUGCUGCUGCAAGGCCCUUUAUCCGUGAAGGUAAAAGGACACGCAUCUGUUCCAUUGCGUGUACGGGGUUAGAAAAUAAAAGGCGGCAGUUAUCAUUCACUGAGAAGGUUGGUGAAAAUAUUUAAGAUUCAGAGAGGCCUCCUGUUUUGAAAGGCAGAGGCCAGGCAUACAGAAUCAUAAACAUUUUUGCUGUAAGCGCUACGGGAGGGGGAAGAGGGAGGUGGGGAGAAAGAGAAAGAAAAAUAGAUCGGCUUAUGCAUGUAGCUGUAAGCAAGGCCAUUGCUUUCAGUUGUAUGCCACUUUGUCCCCACUUCCCCGCCCCAAACAAGCAACACCCUCCCAAAACCCCACAAAUUUUUAAAGAACAAGCAAACAUCACUUACUUUACUAAGCUUUAUAUGACUCCGCAUCCUAUAAACAUUAUCUUACUGGCAGAGAAAACAAGCCCUUUAAAAGGGGGGAGAGAGAGAUGGCUAACACACUGUCACAUUCUAUAACAUUUCAUCCGUCUGUAACGCGUGGCCUACACGGGAAAGCUUUGUGAGGUUUACCUGCGCAGUUGACAGCAAGUUUGUCUUGGGGGG